rnacentral:lncRNA from 1 species
CCUCUCCAAGUAUUAAACCCCCUAUUAACUUGCCACCCAUUGGAAUUCCACCGGUGACAGUUCCGCCGAUUGUAAAACCACCUAUCAACUUGCCGCCUGUUAUUCCACCAGUUAUUAAGCCGCCCAUCGGAAUUCCACCUGUCACAGUUCCACCAGUAGUAAAACCACCUAUCAACUUGCCACCAGUUAUCAAGCCACCUAUCGGAAUUCCACCCGUUGUAAAACCACCUAUCAACUUUCCGCCCGUUGUUCCACCUGUUAUUAAGCCACCUAUCGGAAUCCCACCGGUGACAGUUCCACCAGUUCUUAAGCCACCAAUUGGUUUACCACCUAUUGUAAAACCUCCAAUCAACUUACCACCUAUCGGAAUUCCACCCGUGACAGUUCCACCAGUUAUUACACCAUCCCCUAAAGGAAAACCAUGCCCUUCACCACCAACAACAAAGGCAACAUGCCCAAUUAACACCCUAAAACUUGGAGCUUGUGUAGAUCUUCUUGGUGGUCUAGUUCAUAUUGGAAUUGGUGACCCUG